rfam:Brachypodium distachyon strain Bd21 chromosome 2, whole genome shotgun sequence.
CAUAUACUUCCUCCGUCCAACAAAAAAUGUCUCAACUUUAACUAAAUUUGAAUGUAUCUAUACACUAAGUCAUGUCUAGAUACAUCCAAAUUUUAACAAACUUGAGACAUCUUUUGUUCGAAGGCGGGAGUAGUAC